UACGUAGGGUGCGAGCGUUGUCCGGAAUUAUUGGGCGUAAAGGGCUCGUAGGCGGUCUGUUGCGUCGGGAGUGAAAACUCAGGGCUUAACCCUGAGCCUGCUUCCGAUACGGGCAGACUAGAGGUAUGCAGGGGAGAACGGAAUUCCUGGUGUAGCGGUGAAAUGCGCAGAUAUCGAGAGGAACACCUGCGGCGAAGGCGGGUUGCUGGGCUGACACUGACGCUGAGGCGCGAAAGCCAGGGGAGCGAACGGG
rnacentral:rRNA from 1 species